ACCUACGGGGCGCAGCAGUAGGGAAUCUUCCACAAUGGGCGAAAGCCUGAUGGAGCAACGCCGCGUGGGUGAAGAAGGUCUUCGGAUCGUAAAGCCCUGUUGUUAGAGAAGAAAGUGCGUGAGAGUAACUGUUCACGUUUCGACGGUAUCUAACCAGAAAGCCACGGCUAACUACGUGCCAGCAGCCGCGGUAAUACGUAGGUGGCAAGCGUUAUCCGGAUUUAUUGGGCGUAAAGGGAACGCAGGCGGUCUUUUAAGUCUGAUGUGAAAGCCUUCGGCUUAACCGGAGGAGUGCAUUGGAAACU
rnacentral:rRNA from 1 species